GAACACUAAGCAACUAAGCAAUAUGUGUAACAAGCGAUCUUGGAUAGUGGGAGCGAACUUCCCAAAUGAACAAGGGGGACUUGCUAUGUUAUGAAAAGGUAACUGCUACAAGACCAAAGACAGAUGUAUACAAAGUCAAGGUAGAAGGGACCUUUAUGUUGGUAGCAAGUACAGAGACAAGUGAAGGAUGGGAAAUUUGGACACAAAGACAGACAUAGAGAAGAUGCUAUGAAGAUAAACAAGGAGAAGACAGUCAUGCAGGUGGAGUAACACAUCUACAAAUCAAGGAAUGCCAAGGAUUGCUGUCAAACACCGGAAGCUAGAAGAGGACAGGAACCUUAAAGUCAAUGUGGAACAAAGAACUGUGCAAGGAUAUUGUCAUCUUGACAGUGAUUCAAGCAAGAUGGUGGAAUAGGAGGUCUCCUGUUUGCAAUCCCCCUAUAGACGGAACAGUCUGGCAUCCACUGACAAAAGUGCUUCUUUGGGAUCUUUGAAAUCUAAGGAAGGAGGCAAAAGAUCAGUGAAGUCCUGAAGGACCACUUUGAGAA